rnacentral:rRNA from 1 species
UACGUAGGUGACAAGCGUUGUCCGGAUUUACUGGGCGUAAAGGGUGCGUAGGCGGUCGGAUAAGUCUGAUGUGAAAUCUUCGAGCUCAACUCGGAAACUGCAUCGGAAACUAUUCGGCUGGAGGAUUGGAGGGGAGACUGGAAUUCUCGGUGUAGCAGUGAAAUGCGUAGAUAUCGAGAGGAACACCAGUGGCGAAGGCGAGUCUCUGGACAAUUCCUGACGCUGAGGCACGAAAGCUAGGGGAGCAAACAGG